AUUCCAAGGAUGAUGAGGAUCAAAAACCGCUCAACCUGGUUUGAAAAAAGGCCCGGGAAUCUGAUUUUCCAGAGCAAAGACACUAUGCCAUUAUCUCAAAAAAGAAAAAUCGCAAAUCUAAAGUUAAUUUUCAGCCCUCGGUGAUGUUCGAACAAUUUACUAACUGUUACCUCUAUAAUAUUCAAAUAGAGGUAACAGUCUGUAAUACCUCGGACAGUGAAGAUGACGAAAAAGAGCCAUCGUCGGAAGCGUAUCUCGGGGUGAUGAGAAUCAAUAACCGCUCAACCUGGCCCAAAAAUCUACUUCUCCAGAGCAAACGAACUAUGCCAAUUAUCUCAAUGAAAAAAUAUCGCAGACCUGAAGUUUACCUGCAGCCCUCGACGAUGUUUGAAUAAUUUACUGACUGUUACCCCUAUGAUAUCCAACGAGAGGUAACAGUUCGUGAUACCUCUCCGGUGAACGAGCUAGUGCGAGAUAGUGGAUUUUAUUUCAGACAGUGAACAUGAUGAUGACGACAAAGAGCCAUCGUCGGUGCGUAGAACGCAUUACUACAACUGAAGCUCUUGACCAUGACUUCAUCUCAAUGGAUCAUCUAGUAGACUGCAGUGAAUGCGAAAAUUUGCAGAUGUUGGAGGCUGCUUGUCUCUGAAAAUUUGUCCAUCACCUGCACAGUCCACUGAGAAAAAUACCGUCACUGAGGGCCAUCAGCAAAAACUCCAAGGACAGUGUGAAUAUCCUUUGGUUCCCAGUAAGAUGAGGAUCAACAAUCGCUUAACCUGGUUAGAAAAAUGUCUCGAAAAUCUACUUCUUCAGAGCAAACGAGACAUGCCAAUAUGUCAGAAAUGAAAAAUCGCAGAUCUGAAGUUCUCUUACAGCUCUUGGUGACGUUCGAACAAUUUACUGACUGUUAGUCCUAUAAUAUUCAAGAGGUGAAACUCUGUAAUACCUCGCUGGUGAACGAAAAAGUAAAUUCAAUAUCAAACAGUGAAGAGCCAUCGUCGGAAGCGAAUCUCAGGAUGAUGAGACUCAAUAAUCGCUUAUCCUGGUCCAAGAAUUUACUUCUUCGGAGCAAACGAACUAUGCCAAUUAUCCCAGUAAUUAAAAAUCGCAGAUUCGAAGUUCACCUGCAACGCUCAACGACGUUUGAAGAUUUACUGACUGUUACUCUUAUGAUUUCCAACAAGAGGUGACAGUCCAUGGUACCUCGCCGAUGAACGAGAUACUGGAUUCAAUUUCAGACAGUGAAGAUGACCAUGACGACAUAGGGCCA